ACAGAGAUGGCUAGCGUUGUUCGGAUUCAUUGGGUGUAAGGGGUGCGUAGGCGGCCCAGAAAGUCAGAUGUGAAAGCCCACAGCUCAACUGUGGAAUUGCAUUUGAAACUUCUAGGCUGGAGUGUGGGAGAGGUGAAGGGAAUUCCCGGUGGAAGGGUUAAAUCUGCAGAGAUCGGGAGGAACACCAGAAGGGAAGGCGAGUCACUGGCCCACAACUGACGCGGAGAGCACGAAGGCAUGGGGAGCAAACGG
rnacentral:rRNA from 1 species